CGCGGGGUGGAGCAGUUUGGUAGCUCGUCGGGCUCAUAACCCGAAGGUCGGAGGUUCAAAUCCUUCCCCCGCAACCA
rnacentral:tRNA from 7 species